ensembl:misc_RNA 7SK 7SK RNA
GGAUGUAAAAGCAAUCUGCCUACAAAGUCUGCCACCUGAUUGAUCACCAAGGUUGAUUUUGAUGAUCCAGCUGGGUAGGUGGGUGUCCCCUUUCUCUCUUCCCACCCCAAGUGCAUCCCUCCCAAAGCUUCAUGCUGUUUCAAGCGGACAACUUUCCUCAAUAGAGGAGGACCAUUUUUCAGUCAAAGUUAUAUGAGUAGCUAUGCUCCCCUGCUAGAAUCUUCAAACAAGCUCUCCUCCCUCAAGAAAUGAUCUAUCCUAUUACAAAUCUGUAACCAUCAAGUCUGCAUGGUACUGGCACAAAAAAAGACACAUAGAUCAAUGGAACAGAACAGAGAGCCCAGAAAUGGACCAU